rnacentral:tRNA from 1 species
AUAUAGCUCAGUUGUCAGAGUGUUGGACUCGUAAUUUGAAGGGCCGGGUUCGAAUCCUGUACUUAUAUU